CUUCAAACGCCGGGAACCAGCGUAGAUUUUUAAACCAAUUUCUAAAUACGCCAUUUUGGAAUUCAUCCGAAUUAUGACUGUAAACACACGCAUUUACAGGGUUUUUUUGAUUCAAAGUAGUACGUAUACAGGAAAUAUUGUAUGCAAGCAGUUACACUGGGAGCAAGUUUAUGCUUAACAGAACAUGCAUAAGCCUAUAGUUUUGAAUCCAAGAUUUACCCUGUCAGAUGGAUUUAAUGUUUGACCUCAACGGUAGACUGUUUAAUUUAACUUCUAUGCAGAGAGAAUCAAUAUACAUUUCAAUAACAGGCUGUGAAGAGAAGUCU